rnacentral:lncRNA from 1 species
UGCACCUUCAAGUUCCGAAUGUGACGCACUGCCAGCUUGUUCAACAGCUUGUUCAGCAGGUGCGGAAACCACCCAUGAAUCGAGCUGCCAGCCAUUUCAAGCUUUGACGGUGCCUGUUGAGUCUCAGCAGAACUUUUGUGCUGCCUGUGGAGGAUUUCUGUCUCCUGAGGGCACAGCUGAUGUUACCGGUAAGUGUUCAGUGCUACUGUUCUCACACACUAUGCAAUAUACACUUGAGUCUGACACAUUGCCGCUUACAGGAAAUUACGUGCACGCUCCUAACAGAUUGAUAUAUUGGUGCAUUUAAUAGUGCGGAUGCCCUACAAGUACUGGUGCCCUGUUUUGUUUCUUUUGCUGUAUGCUCCUUCUUGUAAAGCGAGAGUAGUCGCACACAACAUAACUUUAUUGGAGGAACAUGUAAGCUGUGAUUUGUGUAGAGUAAUGCAUAGUACAUUGCUACACACUGCGCAGCAUCAUCACUCUAUCACUUGUGACACGCAAUCAGCUACCGUCUUGUAGCAACUCUGUCAAAAAAAGCUGCAACAGUGGAACCAUGGCACUCUCCCCACUUUGUUUGAAAUAACCACCGCCAUUGAUAACCCUACGUCAUAACCGAGAGUAUGUGCCAUGUAUUCAUGUCUUUACUCAUUACUAACUAUUCACAUAGCUAGGAGGUGGUACACCGGACACUUGCUGCUCCCAAAAUGUCUUUCUACCUUCACACGCAGAGUACAAAGUGAGGCGUGACCACACUUGACUGUCCUGCCCCUAUUUCGGAUCAAGGGCGCGCCCUCAC